AUUGAACGCUGGCGGCAUGCCUUACACAUGCAAGUCGAACGGCAGCGCGGGGGCAACCCUGGCGGCGAGUGGCGAACGGGUGAGUAAUAUAUCGGAACGUACCCAAGAGUGGGGGAUAACGUAGCGAAAGUUACGCUAAUACCGCAUACGAUCUAAGGAUGAAAGUGGGGGACCGCAAGGCCUCACGCUCCUGGAGCGGCCGAUAUCUGAUUAGCUAGUUGGUGGGGUAAAGGCCUACCAAGGCAUCGAUCAGUAGCUGGCCUGAGAGGACGACCAGCCACACUGGGACUGAGACACGGCCCAGACUCCUACGGGAGGCAGCAGUGGGGGAAUUUUGGACAAUGGGGGCAACCCUGAUCCAGCAAUGCCGCGUGAGUGAAGAAGGCCUUCGGGUUGUAAGACUCUUUGUUCUAGGGAAGGAAACGGUUA
rnacentral:rRNA from 1 species